AAAACAUACAUAAAAGAGUCUGUCAGCAUCAUGCAGAUCUAGCUCUAGUGAUACAUCAUUAGGGAGCUUUUAUUUUAGGAUACAUGCAAAAAGCAAACUCAUCCAGGUUACGGAAAAUCAUUUUGAUAUUUUUCUUGGCAGCUAAUCAUGUCGACUCCUAAUAGUUGAGAGAUUUGAUUCAAAAUGGUAAUAUUGCUAACAAAAAUUUGCCUUCCUGGUUUCAAUUGGAAGUUUGGCUAACUAAUACCUAGCAUAUUAAUG
rnacentral:misc_RNA from 1 species